CAGCAUGAUGAAAACCUGGAGUUGCCGAAGCAGAUUGGGUAGAAAAAGAUGAGCCAAAAGGCCGAACUGUGGUGUCUGGAA